UGGUGGGGUGACUUGUCUGCUUAAGUGCGAUAACGAACGAGACCUUAACCUGCUAAAUAGCCCGCAUUGCUCCGGCAGUGCGCUGGCUUCUUAGAGGGACUUUCGGCUCAAGCCGAAGGAAGUUUGAGGCAAUAACA
rnacentral:rRNA from 1 species